GAUGAACGCUGGCGGCGUGCCUAAUACAUGCAAGUCGAGCGAACAGACGAGGAGCUUGCUCCUCUGACGUUAGCGGCGGACGGGUGAGUAACACGUGGAUAACCUACCUAUAAGACUGGGAUAACUUCGGGAAACCGGAGCUAAUACCGGAUAAUAUAUUGAACCGCAUGGUUCAAUAGUGAAAGACGGUUUUGCUGUCACUUAUAGAUGGAUCCGCGCCGCAUUAGCUAGUUGGUAAGGUAACGGCUUACCAAGGCGACGAUGCGUAGCCGACCUGAGAGGGGGAUCGGCCACACUGGAGCGGAGACACGGUCCAGACGCCUACGGGAGGCAGCAGUAGGGAAUCUUCCGCAAUGGGCGAAAGCCUGACGGAGCAACGCCGCGUGAGUGAUGAAGGUCUUCGGAUCGUAAAACUCUGUUAUUAGGGAAGAACAAAUGUGUAAGUAACUAUGCACGUCUUGACGGUACCUAAUCAGAAAGCCACGGCUAACUACGUG
rnacentral:rRNA from 1 species